rnacentral:lncRNA from 12 species
UCCCCCUGGGGUCUGAUCCUGGGGGGCCACGACCCCCCAGCCCUGGUCCUGGGGUGUCACUGGCUGCAGUCCUGGGGGGGCCCGCUGAACCGCUCUUCCGAUCUCCUGGUCCUGGGGUGUCACUGGCUGCAGUCCUGGGGUGUCCCCAGCCCCCAUCUCGGGGUGUCCCUUGCUCUGAUCUUGGGGUGUCACUGGCUCCAGUCUCGGGGUGUCACUGGCCCUGAUCCUGGGGUGUCCCUGGUCCCAGUCUUGGGAUGUCCCUGCCUCUGAUCUUGGGGUGUCACUGGCCCAAUUUUGGGGUGUCCCUGUCCCCAGUCUUGGGGUGUCACCGGCCCCAGUUUUGGGCUGUCACCGGCCCCAAUCCCAGGGUGUCACCAGCCCAUAUUUUGGGGUGUCACUGGCUCCACUCUCGGGGUGUCACCAGCCCCAGUCCUGGGGACAGGCGGUGGCUCCAGAGCGGCCAGCGGAGCCAAGGCACGGCCAGGGCGGGUGAGUGUCCCCAGAGCUGUCCUGAGCUGUCCCAGUGUCCCCUGAGCUGUUCCCAGAGCUGUCCCAGUGUCCCCAGAGCUGUCCCAGUGUCCCCAGAGCUGUUCCCAGAGCUGUCCCAGUGUCCCCAGAGCUGUCCCAGUGUCCCCAGAGCCCGCAUGCUCCGGAGCCGCUCUGGCCCCUCCCUGUCCCCUCUGUCCCAGGGGUGGCACCGAUGGCACCAGGGACAGGGCGGGGGAUGGGAUCCCUGUGUGACACCCCGGGGGUCUCUGAUGUCCCCUCUGUCCCCGGGGGUGGCACUGGGGGGGGGCCUGGGGACAACCCAAAGCGAGAAAAUGAGCCGCGAGAAAAGUCUCGAUUUGCACUUCAGCCUUCCCCUCCUCCU